CAUUAGAGACCUUACGAUUUUAGGACGGCGACGGCCAAAACAAACUCUUUCAAAUAAAUGGUAGUAAAGAUAGUUCGUGGUAUAUUAUCAAUCGUAUGAAUUUAAUACAGUUUUAGAAGUUGAAGACAUGGGUUUUAUGGUUGGGAAGAGUUCUGCUAAACCCAGUUUGAAGUUGCACUUGUUGUGGCUUGCUUGGAAUGCAGGUGUUGUAUCAAGAC